rnacentral:tRNA from 1 species
CUAAAGAUAGAUUAAAUAAAUCAUAACUUUUGGGGAGUUAACAUGCAGAACAAUCCUGCUCUUUAUU